rnacentral:rRNA from 1 species
CUGGUGGCGAGUGGCGAACGGGUGAGUAAUAUAUCGGAACGUAUCCAAUAAUGGGGGAUAACUUAGUCGAAAGAUUAGCUUAAUACCGCAUACGCCCUGAGGGGGAAAGCUGGGGAUCUUCGGACCUAGCGUUAAUGGAGCGGCCGAUAUCUGAUUAGCUAGUAGGUGAGGUAAAGGCUCACCAAGGCGACGAUCCAUAGCUGGUCUGAGAGGAUGAUCAGCCCCUGGGACUGAGCCCCGGCCCAGACUCCUACGGGAGGCAGCAGUGGGGAAUAUUGGACAAUGGGCGAAAGCCUGAUCCAGCCAUGCCGCGUGAGUGAAGAAGGCCUUCGGGUUGUAAAGCUCUUUCAGUUGAGAAGAAAAGAUUGUAACUAAUAAUUACAAUCCGUGACGGUA